rnacentral:rRNA from 1 species
UACAGAGGUCUCAAGCGUUGUUCGGAUUCAUUGGGCGUAAAGGGUGUGUAGGUGGCGCCGUAAGUCGGGUGUGAAAUUUCGGAGCUUAACUCCGAAACUGCAUUCGAUACUGCGGUGCUUUGAGGACUGGAGAGGAGACUGGAAUUCAUGGUGUAGCAGUGAAAUGCGUAGAGAUCAUGAGGAAGACCAGUGGCGAAGGCGGGGUCUCUGGACAGUUCCUGACACUGAGGCACGAAGGCCAGGGGGAGCAAAACGGGG